CCUACGGGGGGCAGCAGUGGGGAAUAUUGCACAAUGGGGGAAACCCUGAUGCAGCGACGCCGCGUGAGUGAAGAAGUAAUUCGUUAUGUAAAGCUCUAUCAGCAGGGAAGAAAAUGACGGUACCUGAGUAAGAAGCCCCGGCUAACGACGUGCCAGCAGCCGCGGUAAGACGGAGGGGGCAAGCGUUAUCCGGAUUUACUGGGUGUAAAGGGAGCGUAGACGGCAGUGCAAGUCUGGAGUGAAAGGCGGGGGCUCAACCCCCGGACUGCUCUGGAAACUGUACGGCUGGAGUGCAGGAGAGGUAAGUGGUCUUCCUAGUGUAGCGGUGACAUGCGUCGCUAUUAGGCGGAACCCCAGUGGCGACGGCGGCUUACUGGACUGUACCUGACGUUGAGGCUC
rnacentral:rRNA from 1 species